rnacentral:rRNA from 1 species
UACGUAGGUGACAAGCGUUGUCCGGAUUUACUGGGCGUAAAGAGCGCGCAGGCGGUCGUUCAAGUCGAGUGUGAAAGCCCCCGGCUCAACUGGGGAGGGUCACUCGAUACUGAUCGACUCGAAGGCAGGAGAGGGUAGUGGAAUUCCCGGUGUAGUGGUGAAAUGCGUAGAUAUCGGGAGGAACAUCUGUGGCGAAGGCGACACCCUGGACCAGCACUGACACUGAGGCACGAAAGCGUGGGGAGCAAACAGG